GAAAAGAAACCAACAGGGAUUGCCUUAGUAGCGGCGAGUGAAGCGGCAAAAGCUCCAAAUUUGAAAUCUGGCACUUUCAGUGUCCGAGUUGUAAUUUGAAGAAGGUAUCUUUGGGUCUGGCUCUUGUCUAUGUUUCUUGGAACAGAACGUCACAGAGGGUGAGAAUCCCGUGCGAUGAGAUGUCCCAGACCUAUGUAAAGUUCCUUCGAAGAGUCGAGUUGUUUGGGAAUGCAGCUCUAAGUGGGUGGUAAAUUCCAUCUAAAGCUAAAUAUUGGCGAGAGACCGAUAGCGAACAAGUACAGUGAUGGAAAGAUGAAAAGAACUUUGAAAAGAGAGUGAAAAAGUACGUGAAAUUGUUGAAAGGGAAGGGCUUGAGAUCAGACUUGGUAUUUUGUAUGUUACUCUCUCGGGGGUGGCCUCUACAGUUUACCGGGCCAGCAUCAGUUUGAGCGGUAGGAUAAGUGCAAAGAAAUGUGGCACUGCUUCGGUAGUGUGUUAUAGUCUUUGUCGAUACUGCCAGCUUAGACUGAGGACUGCGGCUUCGGCCUAGGAUGUUGGCAUAAUGAUCUUAAGUC
rnacentral:rRNA from 1 species